CGUAGGGACCAAGCGUUGUUCGGAUUUACUGGGCGUAAAGGGCGCGUAGGCGGCUUAACAAGUCACUUGUGAAAUCUCCGGGCUUAACUCGGAACGGCCAAGUGAAACUGUCAAGCUAGAGUGCAGAAGGGGCAAUCGGAAUUCUUGGUGUAGCGGUGAAAUGCGUAGAUAUCAAGAGGAACACCUGAGGUGAAGACGGGUUGCUGGGCUGACACUGACGCUGAGGCGCGAAAGCCAGGGGAGCAAACGGG
rnacentral:rRNA from 1 species